rnacentral:rRNA from 1 species
UGCGGAGGAUCAUUAUAGAAAAAAAUACUACCAGUAUGAUUACUUACUUUGCGGCUCGCCGCAAAGUCAAAACUACAAAAAUAAAAUGUCUACAACCAAAAAAUUAAAACUUUCAACAACGGAUCUCUUGGUUCUCGCAUCGAUGAAGAACGCAGCGAAAUGCGAUAAGUAAUAUGAAUUGCAGCCCUUGUGAAUCAUCGAAUCUUUGAACGCACAUUGCGCCUUGGGGUAUUCCCCAAGGCAUGCCUGUUUGAGCGUCAGCCCCCCUCACUCUGUGAAGUGGCUGCUCGCCAGACCAGCCGAAAAUAUUAGUUGCAUGUCUAGGACUACCCAUCAUGCUCCCUAUUUUUGACCUCAAAUCAGGUAGGACUACCCGCUGAACUUAAGCAUAUCAA